UCCUGUUCUGUUGACCUGCACUUUCAUUUCCUUUCUUUCCUUUUUUUUUUCUUCUUCUUCUUCUUUCAACUGAUGUUGGCAGGCAAGUUGGGCCGCACCCGCUGAUGACUUCUUCUGUCCUUCCUUUUUCCUUUCUUUUCUUUCCUUCUGAGGAACCAGCAACUCCCAAGCCUUCAGUUCAGAAAGCUCUGGGCCAUGCCCUGCAACUUCCUGCCACCGCCCUUCUCUGCACGUAUGACAUCCACCUACGUCUACUCCUCCUCAGCAGCACGGAUUCCAUAAGAAAAAAAAACCACGAACUCUCUCUCUCUCUCUCUCUCUCUCUCUCUCUCUCUUUCUUUCUCUCUGGCUCGGGCAGAAGGACAGAGAAAAGGAGACAGACCGGCCUCUGUUUCUUCGAUCAUCCAGAGGCAACAGACAGCUCAACAACAACCAUCAAUCCAUCUCCUCUCGGGCUCUCAACUCUUUUCCUCUCCUGGCUUCAACACACAGACGAUUCCUUCAUCUUUUCUCCUUCAGUCCCUCAGCUCUCUCUUCCGAAAAGAGACCAGUAAUUUCAACAUCCUCAUCAUCUUCCAUAAGCCCACCAUAGACUCCCAUCAUCAUCACCAGCAAGCUCGUCAUCCUUGCCACCAGACACACCAACUUCCAGCCCUCCCCUUCUCGGCUGAUCACAGAGCGCCCCAACUUCUCCUUGUCCUCUCUUUUCCACGUUACUGGCUGAGAGUACAUAGACACAGACCAGAACUGAUCUCUCUCUCUCUCUCUCUCUGUGUGUCUCUCUCUCGAACUUAAAAGGCACAAGAGGACAGCAGCAGCUACGCCUGAGCUGGUUUUCGUCGCCAUCCGGACCCCUCCCCCGAGCCUCUGAGCUAAGCUUUCACCACCUUUUCUUUCAUUUCCGGUUCUUUCCUCCGUUACUCUCUGUCUGUGGUGCUUUAUUUCUCUUUUUUGUAUUAUUUUUUUUCUGGUUUUUCCCUCUGUUUUGCAGGUUCGAGUUUCCUUAAUGAGCUCCAACUGCGACCCUUCCCGCUGUCACGCUUUCCCGACUCGUUGUGCCGCCCUGUCAUCCCUUUCCUUUUCACUGUGGUGAACUGAGACGGUCGAUUUCAGCUCAGGAUCGAGGAGUUUCGUAGCUUCUCGAGUUCCUCCCGACUUCGGUGGGGAGAGGGUCCAACGUCCCACCCAUCAAUCAUGGGGUCUAACGCCCCCCACACACUAAGUGUGCGCGACCCGAAUGCGACAUGGGGUCUAGCAUUGAGUCACCGUUUUAAUCGUAGUAGAAUCCAAGCGGAGGAUGACUCGGCUCAGGAUGCGUGAAAUGGGAUUAAACAAUCACCUGGCUAUCUUGAGGACCAUUUGACCCUCCUGGGAUCCACUGGUUCAGUCGGAUCCGAACCUCAGUUCUCAUAAGAUCGCGUCGCAUUAAUUUUGAUUUUGAUUUUUUCAAAACUCACGGUGAGUACGAGUGAAAUAUUGGUCGAAUGUGAGUUGAUCGAGAUUCAUUUGCUGUAAUUUAUAUUUAUUAUUUAAGAGUACAUUGUAAGG